UUUAAAUGGCCGCAGUAUAUUAACUGUGCAAAGGUAGCAUAAUCAUUAGUCUUUUAAUUGAAGGCUGGUAUGAAUGGUUGGACGAAAUAUUAACUGUUUCAUAUAAAAUUUUAAUAGAAUUUUAUUUUUUAGUAAAAAAGCUGAAAUAUUAUUAAAAGACGAGAAGACCCUAUAAAUCUUUAUAUUUAAAUUAUUAUAAUUAUUUAGAUUAUUUUUAUUAUAGUAAUUAAUAAUAUUUUAUUGGGGUGAUAUUAAAAUUUAAUUAACUUUUAAUUAUUAUUAGUCAUUAAUUUAUGAAAAAUUGAUCCGUUAAUAACGAUUAAGAAAGUAAGUUACUUUAGGGAUAACAGCGUAAUUUUUUUGGAGAGUUCUUAUCGAUAAAAAAGAUUGCGACCUCGAUGUUGGAUUAAGAAAUAAGCUUAGGUGUAGUUGUUUAAGUUUUAAGUCU
rnacentral:rRNA from 1 species